CGCCAAGUCCGAGGCCCCGUGACCGUCGGGGUCUGGUGCACAAAGGGA
rnacentral:sRNA from 18 species